rnacentral:rRNA from 1 species
UACAGGAGGUCUCAAGCGUUGUUCGGAUUCAUUGGGCGUAAAGGGUGCGUAGGCGGCGCGGUGAAGUCGGGUGUGAAAUCUCCGGAGCUUAACUCCGAAACUGCAUUCGAUACUGCCGUGCUUGAGGACUGGAGAGGAGACUGGAAUUUACGGUGUAGCGGUGAAAUGCGUAGAUAUCGUAAGGAAGACCAGUGGCGAAGGCGGGUCUCGUGGACAGUUCCUGACGCUGAGGCACGAAGGUCAGGGAGCAAACGGG